rnacentral:rRNA from 1 species
CAGUAGCCGCGGUAAUACGAAGGGUGCAAGCGUUAAUCGGAAUUACUGGGCGUAAAGCGUGCGUAGGCGGUUUGUUAAGUCUGCUGUGAAAUCCCCGGGCUCAACCUGGGAAUGGCAGUGGAUACUGGCAAGCUAGAGUGUGUCAGAGGAUGGUGGAAUUCCCGGUGUAGCGGUGAAAUGCGUAGAGAUCGGGAGGAACAUCAGUGGCGAAGGCGGCCAUCUGGGACAACACUGACGCUGAGGCACGAAAGCGUGGGGAGCAAACAGGAUUAGAUACCCCGUAGUCCCUGUCUCUUAUACA